GAUGAACGCUGGCGGCGUGCCUAAUACAUGCAAGUCGAGCGAACAGACGAGAAGCUUGCUCCUCUGACGUUAGCGGCGGACGGGUGAGUAACACGUGGAUAACCUACCUAUAAGACUGGGAUAACUUCGGGAAACCGGAGCUAAUACCGGAUAAUAUAUUGAACCGCAUGGUUCAAUAGUGAAAGACGGUUUUGCUGUCACUUAUAGAUGGAUCCGCGCCGCAUUAGCUAGUUGGUAAGGUAACGGCUUACCAAGGCAACGAUGCGUAGCCGACCUGAGAGGGUGAUCGGCAACACUGGAACUGAGACACGGUCAAGACUCCUACGGGAGGCAGCAGUAGGGAAUCUUCCGCAAUGGGCGAAAGCUUGACGGAGCAACGCAGCGUGAGUGAUGAAGGUCUUCGGAUAGUAAAACUCUGUUAUUAGGGAAGAACAAAUGUGUAAGUAACUAUGCACGUCUUGACGGUACCUAAUCAGAAAGCCACGGCUAACUACGUG
rnacentral:rRNA from 1 species